UCCCUGGUGGUCCAGUGGUUAGAACUCGGCGCUAUCAUUGCUGGGGCCCAGGUUCGAUCCCUGGUCAGGGAA
rnacentral:tRNA from 1 species